AACAUCUCGCCCUUCUCCUUCGGGCUGAUCAUCCAGCAGGUGUUCGACAACGGCAGCAUUUACAACCCGGAAGUGCUCGACAUCACAGAGCAGACGCUGCACUCCCGCUUCCUGGAGGGCGUCCGAAAUGUUGCCAGUGUUUGUCUGCAGAUUGGUUACCCGA